CAGCGAAGCCAGGAGGAAAAUUAGGUCCAGUGACGACUCUGGCCCCACUCCUGGGAGUCACUACUAGAAGAUGCUCCUCACAAGUACUGAUUGGGUUGAAGAGAAUGAGUGGUCUGUGUUUCUUCCCCCGACUGGAAUAGACGAAGCUCUAAGUUUGGAUGAGCAAAACAGCUUUGAUUCUACAAGGUGAGGAAACUGAGACUCUAAGAAGACCUACAGCACAUCCGAGGUCACACAGUUCAGAAGAGCACGUCGAGCAUGUGUCAGCCUGUGUCAUGGCUGUGCCAUCUCCCUCCCUCAGUGGGAAAUGGAACGCAUUCUCCAUUACUUGCUGCCUGGACACAUCUAGCCAUGACCAUUUUGGCAUC